AUGCACGCUGGCGGCGUGCCUCAUACAUGCAAGUCGAGCGAACAGACGAGGAGCUUGCUCCUUUGACGUUAGCGGCGGACGGGUGAGUAACACGUGGGUAACCUACCUAUAAGACUGGGAUAACUUCGGGAAACCGGAGCUAAUACCGGAUAAUAUUUCGAACCGCAUGGUUCGAUAGUGAAAGAUGGCUUUGCUAUCACUUAUAGAUGGACCUGCGCCGUAUUAGCUAGUUGGUAAGGUAACGGCUUACCAAGGCAACGAUACGUAGCCGACCUGAGAGGGUGAUCGGCCACACUGGAACUGAGACACGGUCCAGACUCCUACGGGAGGCAGCAGUAGGGAAUCUUCCGCAAUGGGCGAAAGCCUGACGGAGCAACGCCGCGCGAGUGAUGAAGGUCUUCGGAUCGUAAAACUCUGUUAUUAGGGAAGAACAAACGUGUAAGUAACUGUGCACGUCUUGACGGUACCUAAUCAGAAAGCCACGGCUAACUACGUG
rnacentral:rRNA from 1 species